rnacentral:rRNA from 1 species
CGGAGGAUCCAAGCGUUAUCCGGAAUCAUUGGGUUUAAAGGGUCCGUAGGCGGGAUAAUAAGUCAGUGGUGAAAGUCUGCAGCUCAACUGUAGAAUUGCCAUUGAUACUGUUAUUCUUGAGUGUUUAUGAAGUGGUUAGAAUAUGUAGUGUAGCGGUGAAAUGCAUAGAUAUUACAUAGAAUACCGAUUGCGAAGGCAGAUCACUAAUAAAAUACUGACGCUGAUGGACGAAAGCGUAGGUAGCGAACAGGAUU